CUCCUGAGUCUUCAAAGAAACCCCUGUAAAUGACCGGGAAGUGAAAAAUAUAAGACUGCAACAACUGAAUAGAACAAAACAGCUGGUCACAGUCAUGAGCAAAUGCACGAGAAUAAAAGGGGAAAGGGGGGGGUGGUUGUACGGUCGAAGACUCUAUAACUGAAAAAAACCAAUUCCAAUCAAAUAUAAAAAGGUUUUAUGAGACAAUUGUUAGUCGAUACAUGAACAAUAUUUAGGUACGAGCGCACCCUCCAUUAUUCUAGUUGUAAAAUUGGUGUCUUCAUAUAAUGUUUAUCUAUUGUAUCCAUUAUAUCUAGCAUAGCAAUAUAUGAAAGAAACUCUAAAUUGAUCCAGCUGAAAAGAAAGUAAAUUCACAAUUAAGGCAAACAGUAUCUUCAACAAAAUGCAAGAAAUUCAUAAACACAUGACAGGGUUGGCAUAAAACUGGGAAAGAUUUAUGAUUUCUUCAGAUGUGAAAUCAAAGCAAAGAACCCAAAACCUUAUGAGCAGUAAACAUUUCACCAUUAGUAGUUAUAUUGCAGGAAACAAACAAAACCACAAAUGAAUUAAACACAAACCCGUCAAAUCAAUUUAUCUAUUUCAAUGAAAACAAAUUUUUCAAAGAGUCUAAAAAACACACACAAUAAUUGGGAACCAAAAAUCAAAGAAAAAAGAACACAAUGUAGAUAGAUACCAGCACAGGAUUUGAUGGUGUGG
rnacentral:misc_RNA from 1 species